rnacentral:rRNA from 1 species
UACGUAGGGUGCAAGCGUUAAUCGGAAUUACUGGGCGUAAAGCGUGCGCAGGCGGCUUUGCAAGACAGAUGUGAAAUCCCCGGGCUUAACCUGGGAACUGCAUUUGUGACUGCAUGGCUGGAGUGCGGCAGAGGGGGAUGGAAUUCCGCGUGUAGCAGUGAAAUGCGUAGAUAUGCGGAGGAACACCGAUGGCGAAGGCAGCCUUCUGGGCCAACACUGACGCUCAUGCACGAAAGCGUGGGGAGCAAACAGG